GGAAGGAUCAUUAUCCUAAGCGUAGACUUCGUCUUCGACGAAUGCUACAAGCGCAAGCACCUAUGUGGUGGCGUAAAAUUGCACAGCGAAUCCGAUGCCUAGUCAUCGCUUCGCUACUACAAAUCCUUGCUCGCUAUCGAGCAAGUGUCGGGUACCUACGUUGCUUGAGCGUUCAUUCGCUCAUCAAUAAGCGGCCGAGCCUAGUCUCGACUGUGUGGGGUAAAGAUUAUUCAGGCCUUGAAUAACGCCUGCUAAGCAAACUUUCGAAUACCAUUUAACCACUUACUAUGUUGUAUGCGUAAAGCAAUGUCACAUUCUACUUGGAAUGAGACAAUAACACAAAUACAACCCUAUGCGGUGGAUCAUUUGGCUCGCGAGUCGAUGAAGAGCGCAGCAAACUGCGUGAAUUAAUGUGAUUUGCAGGACACAUUGAUCAUCGAUAUCUUGAACGCACAUUGCGGUUACGGAUCACUUCCGUGACCACGCCUGUCUGAGGGUCGGUAUUUAUGUGUAAAUACGUGAAGAGUGUCUAUGCACUCUUGCUCGGUCGUUAAAUGCUCGCAUUCAUUGACUUCAGACUGAUUAUUACUAGCCUAGUCUAGUUGCCGUGCACAAUGCUUGCGUCAUUGAUGCUGUAUUUCUGGUUGCUCUUGGGCAAACAAAAAUUGCUUAGCUUCUAUUCAAUUUGUUUGUUCCGAGUGCGACGAGGGGAUGCGCAUCCAAAAUGGCCAGGCUACUUCACUGUGUAGCCACCACAACAAUAAUCAUAUUUCGACCUCAGAUCAGACGAGAUUACCCGCUGAAUUUAAGCAUAUAAUUAAGCGGAGGAAAAGAAACUAACUAGGAUUCCUUUAGUAACGGCGAGUGAACAAGGAAUAGCCCAUCACCGAAUCCUUCCUGGCCUUCAGGUAAGGAGUUGUGGUGUAAAGGACAGUCUUCGUGGUAGUAUUGUCGGCCCGAGUUCUCUUGAAUGGGGCUUUACCCAGAGCGGGUGUCAGGCCUCUAGCGGCCGAUCAAUACUGUCACUUUGGUUGUCCCGAGAGUCGGGUUGCUUGAGAUCGCAGUCCUAAGACGGGUGGUAAACUCCAUCCAAGGCUAAAUACCGUCGCGAGACCGAUAGCGAACAAGUACCGUGAGGGAAAAUUUAAAAGAACUUUGAAGAGAGAGUUAAAUAGUACGUGAAACCGUAUAGGGGUAAACGGGUGGAAGCGCUAAAUCGAGGCGAAGAAUUCAAAAUCCGCAUUAGCUCGUUAUGUGACGUCGUGCAUAGUCUACGCUAGCACGGCCUGCAGUCACGUUCAAUGCUGGUUGCACUUUUUUCGCUUCGAGCGCCUCGACAGAUUGCUAUGUGCGCGCACUCUAAAGGUUGCGACUAGGUACUGCGACAUGUUUGCGGACUAAUAAGUUGUAGCUCAUGCGUACAUGGCGAUCUUGGACUAAAAGCUAGAAGUAUCAGCGCAAGCGAGUUAGGUGCUCAUGCGGUGGCUGUCGAAUUGGGUGUUACUCCCUAGUGAGUGCAUUCUAACCGGGUUAUCACAUUGGGUGCCUCUUCUCAUGGUACUUUAGUCAGAGGCGAACGGUCGUACGUCUACCCGACCCGUCUUGAAACACGGACCAAGGAGUCUAGCAUGUGCGCAAGUCAUUGGGUUUUACGAAACCUAAAGGCGAAAUGAAAGUGAAAGCUAGCUCUCGUUAGCUUAGGUGAGAUCCGGUGCAAAUCGGCGCAUCACUGUCCGGUCACAAUUGCUUAGCAAUAUGGCCGCGAAAGAGCGUACACGCUGGGACCCGAAAGAUGGUGAACUAUGCCUGAGCAGGAUGAAGCCAGAGGAAACUCUGGUGGAGGUCCGCAGCGGUUCUGACGUGCAAAUCGAUCGUCAAACUUGGGUAUAGGGGCGAAAGACUAAUCGAACCAUCUAGUAGCUGGUUCCCUC
rnacentral:misc_RNA from 1 species